rnacentral:rRNA from 1 species
UACGAAGGGGGCUAGCGUUGCUCGGAAUUACUGGGCGUAAAGGGCGCGUAGGCGGCACUGUUAGUCAGGCGUGAAAGUCCUGGGCUCAACCUGGGAACUGCGCUUGAUACGGCAGAGCUAGAGGAUGGAAGAGGCUCGCGGAAUUCCCAGUGUAGAGGUGAAAUUCGUAGAUAUUGGGAAGAACACCGGUGGCGAAGGCGGCUCACUGGCUCGUAUCUGACGCUCAGGCGCGACAGCGUGGGGAUCAAACAGG